AUGACUAUAGCCCUUGGUAGAAUUCCUAAAGAAGAAAAUGAUCUAUUUGAUACUAUGGAUGACUGGUUACGAAGGGACCGUUUCAUUUUUGUAGGAUGGUCUGGCCUAUUGCUCUUUCCUUGUGCUUAUUUCGCUUUAGGGGGUUGGUUUACAUGGACAACUUUUAUAACUUCUUGGUAUACCCAUGGAUUGGCUAGUUCCUAUUUGGAAGGUUGUAAUUUCUUAACCGCAUCAGUUUCUACCCCUGCCAAUAGUUUAGCACACUCUUUGUUGCUACUAUGGGGGCCCGAAGCACAAGGAGAUUUUACUCGUUGGUGUCAAUUAGGCGGUCUAUGGACUUUUGUAGCUCUCCAUGGGGAUUUUGCACUAAUAGGUUUCAUGUUAUGCCAAUUUGAACUUGCUCGGUCUGUUCAAUUGCGGCCUUAUAAUGAAAUCUCAUUCUCUGGUCCAAUUGCUGUUUUUGUUUCUGUAUUCCUUAUUUAUCCAUUGGGGCAAUCUGGUUGGUUCUUUGCGCCGAGUUUUGGCGUAGCAGCGAUAUUUCGAUUCAUCCUUUUCUUCCAAGGAUUUCAUAAUUGGACGUUGAACCCAUUUCAUAUGAUGGGAGUUGCCGGAGUAUUAGGUGCGGCUCUGCUAUGCGCUAUUCAUGGAGCGACCGUAGAAAACACUCUAUUUGAGGACGGUGAUGGUGCAAAACACCUUCCGUGCUUUUAA
rnacentral:rRNA from 1 species